rnacentral:rRNA from 1 species
UACGGAGGGAGCUAGCGUUGUUCGGAAUUACUGGGCGUAAAGCGCACGUAGGCGGCUUGGUAUGUCGGGUGUGAAAUCCCCGGGCUCAACCUGGGAACUGCAUCCGAAACUGCCUUGCUCGAGUAUGGGAGAGGGAAGUGGAAUUUCCGGUGUAGCGGUGAAAUGCGUAGAUAUCGGAAGGAACAUCAGUGGCGAAGGCGACUUCCUGGACCAAUACUGACGCUCAGGUGCGAAAGCGUGGGGAGCAAACAGG